rnacentral:rRNA from 1 species
ACGGGGCCCGCACAAGCGGUGGAGCAUGUUGGUUUAAUUCGAAGCAACGCGAAGAACCUUACCAGGUCUUGACAUCCCGAUGCUAUUUCUAGAGAUAGAAAGUUACUUCGGUACAUCGGUGACAGGUGGUGCAUGGUUGUCGUCAGCUCGUGUCGUGAGAUGUUGGGUUAAGUCCCGCAACGAGCGCAACCCCUAUUGUUAGUUGCCAUCAUUCAGUUGGGCACUCUAGCGAGACUGCCGGUAAUAAACCGGAGGAAGGUGGGGAUGACGUCAAAUCAUCAUGCCCCUUAUGACCUGGGCUACACACGUGCUACAAUGGUUGGUACAACGAGUUGCGAGUCGGUGACGGCGAGCUAAUCUCUUAAAGCCAAUCUCAGUUCGGAUUGUAGGCUGCAACUCGCCUACAUGAAGUCGGAAUCGCUAGUAAUCGCGGAUCAGCACGCCGCGGUGAAUACGUUCCCGGGCCUU